CGGGGCGUAGCGCAGUCCGGUAGCGUACCUGGUUUGGGACCAGGGGGUCGCUGGUUCGAAUCCAGUCGCCCCGA
rnacentral:tRNA from 1 species